GUUCACAAAUAUCUAAAAAUGGGAUCAGAUAUUGAGAGUCACCAAGCUUCUGGGAAGCCAUCUGAUGAAGUCCUGUCACCUACAGGUGUUUGUCACAGAACUCAUAAACAUAGAUGGAUCUCAAUGGAGUCAGAAAUUGGGCUUGGGAAAAUGGAAACCUACAUCAAAUUAGAAAAACUUGGAAAGGGCACAUAUGCAACAGUUUAUAAAGGAAGAAGUAAACUGACAGAGAAUUUGGUGGCAUUAAAAGAACUAUGCUUGGAAAAUGAAGAAUGCACACCCAGUACAGCAAAAAGAGAAGUUUCACUCUUAAAAGGAUUUUAAACAUGCAAACAUAAUAAAUUUACAAGAUGUUGUUCACAGAGAAAAAUCUUUGACUUUGGUCCUUGAGUAUCUGGAUAAAGACCUAAAACAGUACAUGGAUGGCUGUGGGAACAUCAUGAGUAUGCACAAUGUAAAGCUGUUUCUAUACCAAAUUCUAUGUGGGUUAACUGAUUACUACAGAAGAAUGGUGUUGCAUGGAGACUUGAAAUCACAGAACCUUCUCAUUAAUGAAAAAGAGGAAUUAAAGCUAGCAGAUUUUUGGUAAGGAAUGAUUAAAUAUUUAUCAAUACUUCCAGGUGGUAAGAUAUAAAAGAACAAAUAUUGUCACAAUGUGUUAUCACUUUCAUAUGAAUUUGGAAAUUUUCUCUAAGUCCACUGAACAAUAUUUGACAGAAAUUUGUGGGUGGUUUACAUUGAUUAUUAUCAAAAAAUACUUAAUGGUGUGGGUUCUUGGUGUGGCCCAUGGACCACUGGUUUCUGAUGCCCUUUCAGGGAGUGUCAAGAGGUAUAAAAUAUAUUAGCAGAAGUGCACUAAAUGUUAUUUGCUUUUUUCCCUUUGUUAUUAUUUGCACUGUUGAUCCAGAAGCAAUAAGGAUAAAACAGCUGUUUAAUGGUAUACAUUCAGGCAGUGCCACCAAAGUAUAUCAUAGUAUUCUUCACCACUGAGAAAAAAAGUAUCAGUUACACUUAAAAUAUUUUGCCAAGCAGUAAAGUGCAUUAAAUUUAUUAAAUUUACUUCUUGAGUAAGUGACUAAUAUUUUUGUGUUGUGUAUGUAGAAUGAAAUAUAAAUUAUAUUAAAAAACAUGGACUGUACACAGAAAUACUAUAGUUAUCUCAAGGAAAAGUUUUUGGGUGAUUGUUUGCCUACAAGCUGAACUAGCCAUUUUUUUUAACUUUUCAAGGAACAUCAUUUUUACUAGAAAAAAAUGACCAACAGACAAACUGUGUCUAUUCAGACUUACAUAUUUAGCAGAUUUUUCUUGAAAAUGUAUGAAGUAAGCUUGUCACUUCAAGGAAAUCAACUGCAGGUAUUCCUUGCCAAUAGUAAAAUUCAGGUUUUCAAAUACAAAUUAGAUUGUGAAAAUUUGGAUCUGCUACUUUAAGCUUAAUAUCUUCCCACUACUUAGAAAUUUUUCUGAUGAGAUCAGUGGUGAUAUUAACAAAUAGAGGUUUUUCUUUUUUAUUUUGAUGAAAUUAUAUAAAAAUUUUAAUUUAUAACUCAAGAACAAAUAUUUUUCCAGUUAUCACCACCUCAUAUUUUAGAAUUAUGUAAAAGAUUCAUUUAAAGUGCAAGAUAGACUAUUGAAUUUUAAUAUAAAUAUGAAUAGUUUAUUGAUAGAGUUUCAGUUACCUUAUAACCUUUGAGAAAAAACUGAAUCUAAUUCUAAUAUAUUAAAGAACACUUUCUACAAUUAGAAAUACUUUUUAAAAGUUUCUUCUCUUUUCAAACUUUGUAUCUGUGAGAUUUUAUUUUCUUCAUAUAGCUAGAUAUAUUAUGAUAUAUUGUGAUAUGGAGUAAAGCAACAUAUCACAACAGAUAGAAAGCAAAAGUAAAUAUAGAAUACAUCUGUCUUCUAUCAAAAUAAACUCCAAACACAUUUACUGAAAUGUUAAAAAGUCCAUUCUUAACUAAUUUGUCUUGGAAAUUUUUUUUUCAUAAAAAUGUUAUUUGUGCUAACAUGAGAAGCAUCUUUAAUGCAUAACUAAAUGUUUUAUUUUUUUCUCAUUUUAUGGCAAACAUCAGCACUAAUAAAUAUAAGUAAAAAUAUUUGGGGUUUUUAAUCAAUUUUGAGAACUUAAAAUAAGUCCCAAGACCCAAGAGUUUAAAAACCACCUCUGAAAAGGUGUCCCUUGUAUGCUUGCCACCAUGACUGCAUUUAUUAUGUGGUUAAUAAUUUAAUUGGUAGCUCUUUACUUAUAUCAUUCCAGGUAAUCUGAUUUUAAGGGACUUGAAAGUAAGACAAAAGUAGAUGUUCUUUUUGUUUUGAGUAAAUUGUUUCUACUAGAAGAAGAAAGAA